GAGUGUGGAGCAGGAAGAAUCCCCUUCUCUCAGGUGGCCCUGAGUGUGGCCACAGCCUUUGAGUGUCUGCCCAGGUGGGCCUUGCCAAGAGGCUGGGUGGCCUGGUCUGGGCAGAAUUCACAGGCCUGAUUCUAGCAGAAUCUCCUGCUGUCUGUUUUGUGGCUGCAGCGGUGGGGGCUCUUAGAGAGCUUCCACUAAGGGUAACUUUGGGUCCUUCUGUUUGCCACAUCUAGAUUCUGCUGCUAAAGGGAAAUUUUCUAGUUCACCUGGGAGCAAUUGGAAAAUGGCACAGAAUAGGAGAGGAGAGCAAAGGUGCUGAACAGAAACUUCUUUAUGGGACAGACAGAGCCUUAUGUUCCUGAGUUGCUCUCAUCUCUAAUGAUGUUAUUUUUAAAAAGGAAAACCAGUUUGGCUAUUAAGGGAACCUGUCGACACAGAGCAGAGCAAGAUAAGGCCAGGUUUCAGAGAGAAUAG
rnacentral:lncRNA from 1 species